UGAACCGAGUCAGCCUGGAAAUGGCCAGUGC
rnacentral:piRNA from 1 species